rnacentral:rRNA from 1 species
AUUGAACGCUGGCGGCAGGCCUAACACAUGCAAGUCGAGCGAGCGGCGGACGGGUGAGUAAUGUAUGGGGACUGCCCGAUAGAGGGGGAUAACUACUGGAAAAGGUGGCUAAUACCGCAUACUAUCGGAUCACACAUAUGGGAUUAGCUAGUAGGUGGGGUAAAGGCUCACCUAGGCGACGAUCUCUAGCUGGUCUGAGAGGUUGAUCAGCCACACGGGGACGGAGACGUGGCCGAGACUCCUACGGGGGCAUGAGUGGGGAAUAGUGCACGAUGGGAGCAAGGCUGAUGCAGCCAGGCCGCGGGUAUGAAUAGGGCCUUAGGGUUGGAAAGUACUUUCAGCUGUGGGUCGUUACCCGCAGAAGAAGCGCCGGCUAACUCCGUGCCAGCAGCCGCGGUAAUAC